GUCCUAGCUUCAACAAGACAUAUACUAAAAUUCGAACGAUAAAAAGAAGAUUAGCAUGAGCCCCAAGUCCAAGAAAGCUGGUUUUUGCCAAAAAAUUUUCUUUCUUUUU